AUUGAACGCUGGCGGCAGGCCUAACACAUGCAAGUCGAACGAGUGGCGGACGGGUGAGUAAUGUCUGGGAAAAUGCCCGAUGGAGGGGGAUAACUACUGGAAACGGUAGCUAAUACCGCAUACCAUCGGAUGUGCCCAGUUGGGAUUAGCUAGUGGGUGGGGUAACGGCUCACCUAGGCGACGAUCCCUAGCCGGUCUGAGAGGAUGGCCGGCCACACUGGAUCUGAGACACGGUCCAGACUCCUACGGGGGGCAGCAGUGGGGACUAUUGCACAAUGGGGGCAAGCCUGAUGCAGCCAUGCCGCGUGUAUGAAGAAGGCCUUCGGGUUGUAAAGUACUUUCGGCGGGGAGGCGUUACCCGCAGAAGAAGCACCGGCUAACUCCGUGCCAGCAGCCGCGGUAAUAC
rnacentral:rRNA from 1 species